rnacentral:rRNA from 1 species
AGGACGAACGCUGGCGGCGUGCUUAACACAUGCAAGUCGAGCGGAAAGGCCCUUCGGGGUACUCGAGCGGCGAACGGGUGAGUAACACGUGAGUAAUCUGCCCCUAGCUCUGGGAUAGCUCCGGGAAACCGGGAUUAAUACUGGAUACGACCACCUUAGACAUCUUUUGUGGUGGAAAGAAUUUCGGCUAGGGAUGAGCUCGCGGCCUAUCAGCUUGUUGGUGGGUAACGCCUACAAGGCGACGACGGGUA